AAGACAAACAAUACUCAGAGUAAGAACAGAGUUACCCUCCUUCUUCGCGACCGGAGAAGAUCAGCCUUCAAUCGACAGAUAAAAACCCUAGGUCCGUUCACCGGAAAUCGUAGGUUCCAAGAAACUACCAGAAUAAAACCACAGACGUCGGAAAGUCACCCAAAACGUCUAUUAACCGAAGAUAAAGUCAUCGGAUAACAUCAAACUCCAGG
rnacentral:lncRNA from 1 species